rnacentral:rRNA from 1 species
UACGUAGGGUGCUAGGGUUGUCCGGAUUUACUGGGUGUAAAGGGUGCUCAGGUGGGUUUGUAAGUCAGAGGUGAAAUCCCAAAGCUUAACUUUGGUGCUGCCUUUGAUACUGCAAGUCUGGAGUUUGAGAGAGGGUAAUGGAAUAUCUGGUGUAGCAGUGAAAUGCGUAGAUAUCAGAUAGAACACCAAUGGCGAAGGCAGUUACCUGGCUCAAUACUGACGCUAAAGCACGAAAGUGUGGGGAGCAAACAGG